rnacentral:rRNA from 1 species
AUGAGUAACGCGUANAUAAUCUACCUGAUGAUUCGGGAUAACACUUCGAAAGGAGUGCUAAUACCGGAUAAGCCCACGGAGUCCUUGGACUCUGCGGGAAAAGGGGGGGACCUUCGGGCCUUCCNUCAUCAGAUGAGUCUGCGUACCAUUAGCUAGUUGGUAGGGUAAAGGCCUACCAAGGCGACGAUGGUUAGCUGGUCUGAGAGGAUGAUCANCCACACUGGAACUGAGACACGGUCCAGACUCCUACGGGAGGCAGCANUGGGGAAUUUUGCGCAAUGGGGGAAACCCUGACGCAGCAACGCCGCGUGAGUGAUGAAGGCCCUUGGGUCGUAAAGCUCUGACAG